CUAAUAGACUUGUUAGUAAUGAUUGCUUUCAUAUUAUUCAACCAAAGACAUUUGAUGUUUGAGAUAUGUUAGCAAAUGAGCAUUCAUCUAGACAUAGAGCUUGCUUAGAAUUGUGUCUAGGCUUAAGGUUGAUAGUUUGAUUGAUCAUUUGCCAUCCUUAGUUCGAUACUUGAUCACCCAAGGUCUAAUCCCUAUGCCCAUGAGUUCUCUUUUCCCUUAGUCAAGAAAGUUUCAUUCUGUUAUUGCUUUCUAGUUUAGUAGUAGUUUAAAACCCAUCUAAAUCAUUGGUUGCACUUAGAUUAAGUGAGUACUUGUAUUCUCAGUGCUUUGAUAUCCCUCAGAACUGGUUCGACAAUCUUUUAUACUACAACAUUUGUCUUAGGAGCCUUGAAAACUCCUAACAUCAAAUUGGCGCCGUUGCCAAAUUCUGAGUAGAUUUGAACAUUGAGAUUUAGUCACUUGCUUGAGACUAAGUCAUUUUUAUUUUCUUUUGUUACUGAUUCUAUUUCUUCACCUCCCUUUAAUCUACAGGUGUAUGAACUUGAGGAGCAGGGGUCCAUCAAACCUAGUUCCAAUAGCUGCAGACAUCAGAGCUUUAGAGAGAGAGUGUGCUAGAAAUAGAAGAGAAGAAGAGCAACAGGCUCACUUGCAGAGAUUGAGUACUGAUAUGGGAGACAUACCUCAAAACCAACAGCGAGCAGCUCGACCCAUUGGCACUUACGACCGCCCCAACAUUCAUGGUCAUAGAUUGGGAAUCCGAGCACCCGCUGUGGCAGCCAACAACUUUGAGAUCAAAUCAGGACUCCUCAACGUGAUCGAGAACAACAAGUAUCAUGGCUUGGCUCUAGAGGAUCCAUUUGAUCACUUGGACAGGUUCGACAGCUACUGUGGGUUGUCAAAAACCAAUGGUGUGUCCGAAGAUGCCUUAAAGCUCAAGCUAUUCCCUUUCUCUUUGGGGGAUAAGGCACGUCAGUGGGAGAAGUCUCUACCCAGUGACUCCAUCACUACUUGGGAUGACUGCAAGAAAGCAUUCUUGGAGAAGUUCUUCUCUACUUCAAGAACUGCUAAGCUGAGAAACGAGAUUUCCAGCUUUCAACAGAAGAACUUGGAAGGCUUCAGUGAAGCCUGGGAGAGAUUCAAGGGCUACCAAGCUCAAUGCCCACACCAUGGCUUUUCUAAGGAGAGCUUGCUAAGCACAUUCUACCGUGGUGCUCUUCCUAAGUACAGAGCCAGACUGGAUACAGCUAGCAAUGGGUUCUUCUUGGGGAGAACUGAGGAGGAUGCAGAAGAACUGGUUGACAACAUGGUAAAGAGUGAUGCAGUCUACAGUGGAGACCACGACAGAAGCAGUAGAACUGAGGAUAGGCAAACGAGGAAGGAGUUGAAAGCUCUACAGGAUAAGAUAGACAUCCUCCUUGCUGAUAAAGCUACCCAAGAGCAGCUGCACUUUGUCGGCAACCCAAGCCAAGAGACACCAGCUAUUGUCCAUGAAGUUGAGGGUUUGGAAGGUCAGGAAGAGCUGUGUUUCAUCAACAACAAUGGUAGCUGGUACAAGAAAGAACCCAACUUUCAGUACAAUAACUACCAACAGAAGUCCUAUUCCAACAACCAGCAGAGUGGCUAUCCGCCAAGAAACAACCAGCAGGGCAGCUAUCAGCCUCAGCAAAACCCCUCGUCUGGUUCCUCUGCUCCUCAAGAGAGCAGCACUGAUACCUUACUGAAGCAAAUCUUGGAGUCUCAGACUAGAAGUGAGAAGCAAGUUGGUUAUGAGUUGAAGAACCUUCAUUCCAAGAUUGAUGGGAGCUACAAUGAGCUCAACAACAAAUUCUCACACCUUGCUUCUACAGUCAGGAAUUUAGAGAAUCAAUUUGCUUCCAUGAACACUCACCAGAAUCGCCAGCAAGGAUCUCUACCUGGAAAGUCUGACCAAAAUCCCAAGGAGGCCAAAGCUAUCACCCUUAGGAGCGGUAAGCAGUUACCUCCUAGAACCCUCACCAAGGAUGCUGAGAAAUUAGGUGAGGGGGUUGCCAUCAACAUAGAUGAUGAAGUGGUGAUUGUUGAUGAGAAGAUCAAUGACGAGAUCUUGGAGAAGAUAGUGGAAGCCAAAGGUAAAGGAAAGGUUGGAGAGGAGAAGAAGACAGUAAAGGAUGGUGAAGUUGUUACUCCAGCAAGUGAAAGUUCUUUUGUUCCUCCUCCCUAUGAACCCAAACUUCCAUUCCCUGGUAGAUUCAAGAAGCAGCUGCUAGAGAAAUACAAAGCUCUGUUUGAGAAGCAAAUGAGUGAAGCUCAGGUUGCAAUGCCCAUCAUCGAUGCUUUCAUGUUGAUUCCUCAAUACAACAAUUUCCUGAAAGAUGUUGUAGCUGCAAAGAAGAAGGAGAUGGAAAGCAUGAUGAAUCUUACCCAUGAGUGCAAUGCCAUCAUCCAGAGGCUUGAUGUUCCAGAGAAAUUAGAGGAUCCAGGAAGCUUCACACUACCUUGUGCUCUUGGACCUAUGGUAUUUGAGAAAAGUCUCUGCGAUUUGGGAGCUAGUGUCAGCUUGAUGCCUUUGUCUGUUGCAAAGAAGCUUGGAUUCACUCAGUACAAGAAGUGUAGACUCUCUCUGGUGUUAGCUGAUCGUUCAGUGAAGUACCCUGUGGGCAUCUUAGAGGACCUUCCUGUGAAGAUUGGAAGGUAUGAGAUACCUACAGAUUUUGUGGUGCUUGAGAUGGGUGAGGAGGCUCAAGAUCCAUUGAUUCUAGGAAGGCCAUUCUUAGCUACAGCAGGAGCUAUUGUUAAUGUGAAGGAAGGCACGAUUGAUCUCCGUUUGGGUAAAGAGAACAUCCUCCACUUUGACAUCAAGAGGAAAAUGAGGAAACCAACUGUGUUCGGGCAAGCCUUCUACAUUGAAGAGAUUGACACCCCUGCUGAUGAGCACCUUGAAGAGUUACCACCUGAGGACGACGAGGAGGGAGCAUCUCCCUCUACUCAUUCCCUAUAGAAGGUAACCCACCACACUCCCUUGUAUAUACCAUUUCAUUUUUGCAUAUUAGUCUUCUUUUCGGUAUCUCUCUCUACUUGACGACACAGAGACUGUGUAACUCAAGUUUGGGGGGAGGUACCAAGUAUUUGAUCAUGUUUGCUUUGAUGUUGUUUCAUUGAGUCAUGCAUGGCAUACCUAUUUGCAUAGAUAAAAAAAAAAUCAAUCAUUUAGUUUGCAUCAUUUGCAUUUUUAGGAGAGUCUAGAGCAUAUAGGUUGCAUUCACUUGCAUUGGGAGCAAUGAUUUGAAUGCCUUGUAAAGAACACUACGUUGCACUUGACUAGCUUUUGCACCUCUCAAAAAGACUUGUAUGUUUCGAGCCUUGAAAACUCUUCCUGAAACUUGUUGAUUGCUGAAACUCAGCCUUUGAAGCCAACUACAACCUUAUUAGAAAUGAAUGAACUUAAUGCUUCUUGCUUAGGGUCCCUUGUGUACUGAGUCAUGGCUAUACACACUGGAGUUGUCACAUCUUUUAUGCCAAUCUUUUUGACAAACUCUAGUGGUAGACCACUCCCAAAACCUUUCCUUCCUUUUAAGCUUUCAUUGUUUGAUGAGUGAGGCCUUCUUCGGAAAGUCUUACAUGCGCAUAAUGUUGAGAGUAUCGGGAACGACAAUGCUUGAUCUUCAUUUUUGCUAGAUUGGACACUCUUUUGUCUAGCUAUAGGUGGGAGGGUGAGUGUUGUGAUCAUGAUUUGGGAGAAAUGAAAAAUAAAAAGGAUAGACUCUUUGUGCUUAAGUGAAUUGAUUUUCUGGGAUAAGUAGAGAACCUCUAGCUCUAGUUUUGAAAAGUCUUGGCCCCCAACCUAAAAAAAAAAAUAUAAAAAAAAAAAGAAAAGAAAUCGAAAAAAAAAAAAAGAAAAGAAAGAAAAGGGGGCUAGCAAAGUUGUUAGGAGCUAAGAAAUGUUUUGAGGUUGUAGAAAAAUCCCUUGUAGAUUUCAAAAAGAAAGAGUUAAAGUUCUUAAGAUCUUUUGGUGAGAGAUGUGAGUUGGGGUUGACAUUUGGGAAUGAUUGUGUAAUUGUAUGUUUGGGAAAAGGGUAGAACAAUGGAGAUUGAGCAUUGUAUGCAUGAGUUGGUCCCUUUCUUAGAUAUAUUAUGUGCAAUGUCAAGGCUACUUGUUUUGAGAGUAAACCACCUUAAAGAUCAUAUGUUUUGAACCUCUUGAAUCACUUGAAUAAAAGCCUUCCCUUACCCAACCAAAUGACUUGGACCAAAGGACCAUUUGCAAGAAUUCACCUGAUGUUUUGUGCUUAAUGAAUGUGAGAGUUGGUUGAUUUGAAUGUGUGGAUGCUUGAUGAUGAGUGUAAGAACAAAAAGAGUUAAGAUAGGCCUAGAGAAGCUAGAGUGUAAUAAGAGAGUGUGCUAGUUGUGUUUCUUUUGGCUAUGUGCUCCCUCCUUCAACCUCUCUCCCUAUGAGUUCUAGAAAGUUCACUUGUGGACAAGUAAAAGAACAAGUUUGGGGGAGUUGAUAUCUUGCAUAUUUGCAUUGUUUUAUCCAUUCAUCCAUUAGCAUUUUCAUCAUAUAGAUUAGGAUUUAGCCAUGUCUAGGUUGCAUUUUGCAUUCAUUGUCCUCAUUAGGUGUUGGAGUGCCACAUGGAGUUCUUGGGGACAUUUGGAUGCAUUUGGAGCUUAAAGGACGUGAAACAGGUGAUCAUUGGACGAGCAGAGCAUGGGAGCGAGGUUCCGUAGCGACGUCAUGAGGUCGCUCCAAAGCACCUCUCAGAGCGACCUAGCUAGAGCGACCCCGUGCAGUCGCUCGCAUCUCACACCCCUCUCGGAGCGACCUCCCAAAGCGACACCCCGAGGUCGCUCGCGUCUUUAUGGAGAGACGACACGAAGCGAAGCCUGGAGCGACUUCUCAGAGCGACCUACCAAGGUCGCUCCCGAUCCAGAGCGACCCGUUGGAGCGACACACCAAAGUCGCUCGCGACCUCUCGCCCGGACACACCAAAAAUCGGCCCUGGAGCGACUUCCCGGAGCGACACCUGCAAGUCGCUCCGCGUUAUUUUGCUGCCGAAAAUCAUGAUUUCUUAAGGACCUUUUUGCAAUUUAUUUUGGACGUUUUGCACUUGGAAAAACCUAUGUUUUAAACAUCUUUUGUAGCCACCAGUGGCAGAUUAUCUUUUAUCUUUUGAUCUAUUGAGAAAGACACAAGAACUCUCUUGAGAAGUUCAUCUCUUGGAUUUUGAUUGUUAUGUUCUUGUGUUCUUGUUGAUUUCUUAUCUAUUUCUUUACAUGAUUAAUCUGAAAUCCAAUAUGGGUUUAAGAGGAAUCAUGGAGAUUAGUGAGUAAUCACCUUUUGAAUUCAUGGGUUAGGGAGAUUAAGGGUGAUUAGGUUAGAGCUAGGAUGUUUUAGUGUAGAUCAUUCAUAUUUCCUUGCUAGUAGAGUAAUCAUAAUGCAUCUUCUGAGUUGGCCACUCAGUUGUUGAUCCUUAGGCAUUUCUCACCCGAAAGGUGUUCGAUGAAAUGCCCGAGACAACUCUCCUAGGCUUUUAGUAUACUUUGCCAAAGACAUUUGUUGUUAAAGGUACUAAGAUAGCUAAUAGACUUGUUAGUAAUGAUUGCUUUCAUAUUAUUCAACCAAAGACAUUUGAUGUUUGAGAUAUGUUAGCAAAUGAGCAUUCAUCUAGACAUAGAGCUUGCUUAGAAUUGUGUCUAGGCUUAAGGUUGAUAGUUUGAUUGAUCAUCUGCCAUCCUUAGUUCGAUACUUGAUCACCCAAGGUCUAAUCCCUAUACCCAUGAGUUCUCUUUUCCUUUAGUCAAGAAAGUA
rnacentral:lncRNA from 1 species